AGAGAUAACGUGGCACCUCUGAUGAAGACAGGAAGAGGUAAGGAAUGCCAUCAGGACGUGGCAGGGACAUGGAGAGCCCGAGCCUCCUUCAUAUGGGUGUGAGAAGGAUGCAGGAGCAGAUGUGCAUGACUCUCAACGCUGUAGUGGAAUUAAAUGUUUGUUAAGAUGGAAUUGGAAUACAGACCCGGCCAAUGCAGAGAAGGAUGGAGUUAGAAUGCAGGAAUCACCAAUUUACAGGACUGGGUGUCUCAAAAUGGUGCUUAUAUUGGUACAAGAGGAUCAAGAAAUCCCGAAUAAGCUCACAGCUCUUCACUGCAAAUGAGAAGGCAAGAAGUAAUUGAUUGGAAGAGCCCUGUUGAGCUGGGCCUGCUGUGUAUAACUGCAGCUUUCCAAUGGAGCCCCUGCUCACCUCCAACAGCCACUGCUGAUUCUCCAGCCUCCCUGCUUGCUACGUUUGAAGGAGUUUACAACAUAUUUCAUACACAUUCAGACUAAGAAGCGUUUUCCAUCUCCUUCAACACCACAUCAUCAAGGGUUUCUGACAAAUCACAUGCAUGGCUUCCUGACCGCAUACCAACAAACACAAAUGCCAUCGAUAACACACGUUUUGAAACAAACUCUUUCAGAUACAGCCUGCAAAGUGCCAGGAAACCAUGAGCAGCACCACAGCAACCUCUCCAAAUACCUGCAGUCUGAAUGACGUAACUCCUCAAUCCUUCACAGUCACGUCAAGAAGCCCGACUGAGAUCUGGAUCCCACUCUCUUAGGUGCUCAGUUAAAACACUGCAAGCUGAAUUGAGCUUGCAAGCUUAGCACUGAAUGGAAGUCCUGACUCUAACAAAAUAUUUUAAAAUACUGUACUUGCUUAAACAAUAGAUGACAGCCAGUCCCCUCUAUAUCCAAGGAACAGAAAAGGCGUAGCCUUAGAAAGUAGGUGGAAAAAAAGCUAAGUGUGACAAGAAAAAUAUAUUCUCUAUAUGAGAAAAUGCAGGUUUCUCUCUUGGUCUCUUUUUCUUUUAUUGUGAAGUAUGAAUGCAGUAUCUCUAGGUGUCACUUAGGUACUAAAGCACUAGUCAGUGCGGGAAUAACUCAGAUGGAGAUAUCACAGGAAAGCAUACUUGCUGCUCAGCAAUGCUCAACUCUGCAAAAUCAAAACUCGUAGCACGGCUUUGUGCUGGGAUUUUUCUAAGGCUAUUUCAGUCAGUGCUUUUGUCAUGAGAAAUCCUACAGGUUAACAAAGAAGAAGGUUACAAAGAUGACCUGUUCCAUCAUAGUCCACCACGUUCUGAGGUUUCCUAUGAAGUCCGUGGCAGAAAAGUUGGAAAAAAUUCCAAUUCUCAGAAACUUUUCCAGUUAUUCCAACUUUCCAGAACUGACCUCGGCACCUCUUGGCUUGGCAUGUCAGAGUGGUGAGCUCAGACCAGAGCAGGAGCGCAGUGGGGAACAUGGGCUGCUCCCCACCACCUGUCCUGCUCACGGUGACCACCAAGGACUGGUGUCCAGCUGCCCCCUGAAAUCCUCAGGAGAGCUUCCACUGGGGGCACUCCUCUCACUGAGCUCUUACAAACAUCAGUGGUUGCCACAAAUGACUGCAAGAGCAUCCACGUGAGCAUAGAAGCGCUACAGCAAGGCCAAAGUGAGGGCAAAACAAUUACCGCCGUCGCCAUCCCCACUAUCUCGCAGGUUAUUCCCAGGGAGCAGCAAAAGCAAAACCUAAGAGCGCGACCCGAACUUUGGAUUAAACCGUGAGCUGAGACUUUGAGAUCUGCAGAUGUGGCUCUGCCCUUAUCGCUGACUGCGGCGUGACGACUCAGCAGUUCCAUGCUGCACCUGGCCCGACCUUUUUUUCCCCAUUGAUUUAUUCAGCUUUCUGCUCCCUUCCUAGGCACCGAGCCUCAUUUUGUACUGCAGAUUACAGCAAUUCUGGCCAAUCGCACUCGUUGGAAGCAAGAGCAUCUUGCCUUGUUUCUGGGAGGUCCAAGGAUAAGGUCCAGUCCCUUAGAAACGGUUGAGCCAAGAGCUGAGAUUAAAAUUCAGCUUGAGGACAGAAGGUCUGGCAUUAUUUUGCAUUUCUUAAUAAAAGGUUUCCACUG
rnacentral:lncRNA from 7 species